rnacentral:rRNA from 1 species
GAUGAACGCUGGCGGCGUGCCUAAUACAUGCAAGUCGAGCGAACAGACGAGGAGCUUGCUCCUCUGACGUUAGCGGCGGACGGGUGAGUAACACGUGGAUCACCUACCUAUAAGACUGGGAUAACUUCGGGAAACCGGAGCUAAUACCGGAUAACAUGUUGAACCGCAUGGUUCAACAGUGAAAGACGGUCUUGCUGUCACUUCUAGAUGGAUCCGCGCCGCAUUAGCUAGUUGGUAAGGUAACGGCUUACCAAGGCAACGAUGCGUAGCCGACCUGAGAGGGUGAUCGGCCACACGGGAACUGAGACACGGUCCAGACGCCUAAGGGAGGGAGCAGUCGGGAAUCUGACGCAAUGGGCGAAAGCCUGACGGAGCAACGCCGCGUGAGUGAAGAAGGUCUUCGGAUCGUAAAGCUCUGUUAUUAGGGAAGAACAAAUGUGUAAGUAACUAUGCACGUCUUGACGGUACCUAAUCAGAAAGCCUCGGCUAACUACGUG